rnacentral:tRNA from 6 species
GCCGCGGUAGCUCAGUGGUAGAGCGCAUCCUUGGUAAGGCUGAGGUCCUGGGUUCGAGUCCCAGUCGUGGCACCA